CCUCUGAACUUCCUCUUGCAGCCCUCGUCUCUUUCUUCGCCUCUAUGGACUCGACGGCGGCUCUCUCUCUCCCUCAAACGUGAAACGGCGGCGGCUCUCUUUCUCCGGUGACCUUCUUCUCUCUCGCGGUCUUUUCCUCUUUUGAUUUCUUCUGCUGAUUAAUGGCGAUGAUGUGCGAAUGGAGGUUGUUAUGAGGUCGAUUGAAGGUGAAGAGUAAGAGUGACGCCGAUGGUUGUGAUGCUGAGAUGAAAGUUGGAUGAGGCUCGUUCUUGGAGAAUUUGCAGUGAUGUCGAGGCGAUACGAAAGCGAGGUUGUGAGGAAGAUUGAGGUCUGCGGACUUAUGUAUGGAUCGUAGUAUGAUGGAGGAUUCUUGAAGAGGCAGUGUGACUUGAAUAACUGAGGUAGAGGGGGAUCGAAGGAUUGUGCUGAUUAUGGAUUGACGAUGAUGAAAUUUUCAGGUUUGGAGUUAAUUCGAUGAAGAUUUGAGGUUGCAGAGUUUGAAGAUGAGUGAGAAGAAGAUGAAGUUUGAGGAAGGUGAAUGAAGGGAUCCGAAAAUGGCGAAGAGAAUUUUGUGAGAAAGAUGGAGUUGUGGUGGAGAAAUGGCGUGAAGGAGGUUGAAGCUAGAGGUUCUGAGAAUUGGCGAAGAGGAUUGUGAAGAUUUUGGGGCUCUACCCUUCUUCCUUCAAAGUCUGCAAGCGAGACAAUGAUGAAGACUGAUAGUGCUUAGGUCCAUUGUAGGUGGGUGGAGCUGACUAUUUAUAGGAGCAAUCAUUGGGUGAUCAUUAGGAAUCCUUAGAUGUGGGACUCAGCAUUAUAGCUUGCAAGGGUAUGGAUUGAUAGGAGCAUGGGUCAGUUAACUGCUGCUUGAAAGUUCUGCUAGGGACCAUGUUUGAAAGUUAGGGAAUUAGUUUUAGACUGAAUAUAGAUGGGCUGGACAUCCUUUGCAAACUGACUUGUUGCUUUGAUAAACCGUGUUGAACUUGAGUUGAAUCAUUGAAUGCCUUGGUGAUGCAGACAGAUAUCUUGUGAAUGUGUGAUGACAUUGUAUCAUGGAA